UGGGGAAUAUUGGACAAUGGGCGCAAGCCUGAUCCAGCCAUGCCGCGUGAGUGACGAAGGCCUUAGGGUUGUAAAGCUCUUUUGUCGGGGACGAUAAUGACGGUACCCGAAGAAUAAGCUCCGGCUAACUUCGUGCCAGCAGCCGCGGUAAUACGAAGGGAGCUAGCGUUGUUCGGAAUCACUGGGCGUAAAGCGCACGUAGGCGGAUUUGUAAGUCAGGGGUGAAAUCCCGGGGCUCAACCUCGGAACUGCCUCUGAUACUGCAGAUCUUGAAUCCGGUAGAGGUGGGUGGAAUUCCUAGUGUAGAGGUGAAAUUCGUAGAUAUUGGGAAGAACACCAGUGGCGAAGGCGGCUAACUGGUCCGGUACUGACGCUGAGGUGCGAAAGCGUGGGGAGCAAACAGGAUUAGAUACCCACGUAGUCCCUGAGCGGGCUGGCAAGGCGCAU
rnacentral:rRNA from 1 species